CAAAAAUUUGUGGACAUUUUUUUAGAAUCAUAAUCUCCAUAUUUUUCCACAUAUUUUGAAAAAGAAAUUUCUGAAAAAAGUUUAAAAAUGAAGGAAAUGGGGGUGGGGUGGUAAUUUUUAAAUGCCAAUUUUUUUGCAGAUUUAUAUUCCUCGUAGCCGAAAAGGAGAGUUUGUGUUGAAAAAAGAAGUUUUUUUUAAAAAGGGUGGUUUGGUAGGGGACGGAAGUCUUGCCCCAAGUACUUCAAUUAGUCGCACACCACAAGGUUCAACAUAACCUACUGAAGCAAGCCAACAAGCACUUGGCAUUACCAUGAGUGAAAAUGAGAUUUAAGGUGUUGGAACAGCCAAGCACCCUCACAGGCCAACAAUGACAACUUCGCUGUUAAUGGCCCAGCUCCUCCCCUCCCAAAAAAACCAUCUCAAACGUCACAGGCUAGAAGAAAUAGUUCACUGACAGGUCCCAUUACUUUUGUUCUGCUCAACUACAAAAGCAGUGACGCUCAUUUUCCGCAGCAUCCAGGAUGUGGAAGAGAGCAAUGGAGUCAGACUGUGGUGUCCAAGAUGAAGCACCUACCUCUUACCCUGGGACAAAGGGUAAAACCAUCUGAUCUCUUCCCAUCACUUCUGGAUAAUCCCACCAACUCCAGAACUGAGGGGUUAUUAACCUGAGUCAGGCUCCACUUAAUGAUUACAUUUAGCUUGGUGUGAGGAGCAAAACGACCAGCAUUUAGGAGGUUGAAAGUUCAUGCUGCUUUCUUAAAGGUAAAUUCAUCUUAUCGUGCAUGUAAUAAAAUGCAGUCAUGCUGGCAGAGGAAAGCUAAACAAAGUGGGAGUGACAGUCAGAGAUGCUCAAUGCAGGCGAACUGUAGUGAGAAGUUUUACUCAGAUGUCGUGCAAAUUUUUAUCAUAAAUAUCUACUUUAACAAUUUCCCAUGCAGGAAUACAUAGAUAUAUAUGAAAUUACAUAUUACACAUUUUUGUUUUCAAAAUAUCUUUAAUGUAACAUAUAUAUAUUAUUAAGUUUAAUAAGAUUCUAGCUGUAGAAUGAAAGAAAACUGGGAUUCAGAAAACUAGACAAGGCUCUUAGGACAGGCAUUGCAACCAAUGUGUUGGCAGCCAGGUUGGCCCUCGACCAACACUUAGACGCCAAACACAAAGGCUGCAUUGUCAAAGCUAAGGCACAUUCGGUAAGUGGAGAGGGGACUAAGGCUUCUCAAUGGGCCCAUGUGGCAGAUGUGAAGCAUGGCAACAGAGCAACCAUUCUGAAUUUGGUAGACCAGAACGGAUGCAAGGUUUCUGAACCGAAGCAGAUGUGUGCAGCCUUUCAACAGCACUUUUUUCAACUGUUUGGGACAAGCAGUGGGACGGACAACGGGACAGACUUCAGUGUGUACUAGUAGACAUUUGCCAAGAGACUUGUUUUUGGGCCUCUUAGCAAAUGUCUACUGCAACUGGCAACAAAACGGGAGAAUUCCUGCUUUUGUUUGUCAAGGAGUGGUGGCACUGCUGAGAAAGGACCCAAACAAGGGGGACAUGAUAGGGAACUUUAGGCCCAUCACUCUGCUUGGUGCAGAGUUGAAGAUUUUGGCCAAGGUACUAGCCAAGAGGUUGGUGCUUGUCAUGGACAAGCUGAUUGGCAAGGCACAGACAUGCACCAUGCCGACCAGGUCUAUCCAUAAUAACCUCUAUCUCAUGUGCUACAUCAUAGAGAGGGUGGACAAUGAAGCUGGCGUGUGUGGGGCUUUGAUCAAUUUAGAUCAGUGUAAAGCCUUCGAUAGGGUUGACCAUCGAUACCUGGCAGCUGUUCUCAAGGCAGCCGGUUUCAGUCCAGUUUUCUAUGGGUGGAUCGCUGCUUUGUACAGCGGCAUCAGGCUCAGUCAUACGGGUGAAUGGUCAGCUUUCGGAACCAUUCAACAUCUCGUGUUCGGUCCGCCAAGGAUGCCUUCUCUCCUCCCUCCUGUACAUAUCGAUUCUCGAGCCAUUACUGUGGAAGUUGGAGGCUUUGUGGGGUGUCCUGCAUGAUCUGGGAUGUGGAAAGAGCACGUCUGCCUAUGCUGACGACAUCAUCAUGAUGGGGUCAAGCCACAAGCAUAUCGACCUUAUUGGCGAGACGCUAAACGAGUACAAAGCGAUGACAGGUGCGAAAAUUAAUGCAGAAGAGUGCUCUUUCAUGAAUUGAAAAUUCUAAAAUGGAUGCAACUGCAUCCAUUGGCUGGUCCAAUAUACCUACCCAUUCAAUAAUGACUAAUUUUAUUAUCAUUGUUUACUUGAACAGCAGCUUAGUCAUGUCCUUUCAGCAUGUACUUGAUGACCUACCUAAUUUACCUCACUGAGGCAAUGAUUUCGAUGUUGCAGUGGCAUUUGAAUGUUCUUAAAAGAGUUUCAUUAUAAGGUACGACUCAUUUGUUGUUUGUUUUUCCAUUCUUAUGAAAUCCAACUCCUCCCAUUGCAACUGAUCUUCGUCUAUAAAGAGAUAGUCUCUGUUUGUUUUCUUGCCUUUUGAUUAAAAUGAUAAAGAUUAAUAUUUAUUUUAAGAAAAAAAAAUCAAGUACCCAUGAUUCAAAAAAUAUCUCAUAAAAAUAUAGGGAGAAUUUCUCUUUCAGACCAUGGCACUCAAAAGUUGUAUAAAUGACUAGCAGUAUCGCCCGGCCUUGCUUGGGUUUGUUUCAACCCUUUAGAAUUGGAAUUUUUGAAAAGUAAAAAUUUUGCAUUAUGUAGCUUGUUAUUCUCUUUAAAUGAACAUUUUUCACCGAAAAAUGGCUACACAGCAGUCAAAAAAUCGUAAAAAAUAGGGAUUUUCACAGAAAAAAAGCACCGCUUUGAUGUAAAUAAUUUUUGGUCUUAACAUGGUCCAAUUUGAAUUUUUUUCUUCUACGGAAGGAAGAGCAAGCCUUCUUCUAUCAUACUCUCAAUUUUGGUCAACUUGCGCCACAGGGUCUCGGAGGAGAUAGUGUUAGUUGAAGGCUACCAAACCUGCCAUACACAGACAACUGCAGCUUUAUAUAUAGAGAGAUUAAGGGAGGAAAAAAGAAAGUAAGUAAAAAAAGGAUUGAUGCCAAUAGUUCCAAUAACUCUUUGAAGUGUCAAUAUUUUCAACUUGAUUUUUUUUUUCUUAAAGGGGGAAAUUAUUUCAUUUGUAAUCUUUAUCAUCUUGAUCAAGUGGCAGGAAAACUGACAAACCUUAAGUUUUAGUAUACUAUAGAUAUAUAUAUAUACAGACUAAAAUGAAAGAAUAUAUACCUUUAUUUUAGUCUGUUUUUUCCAUUCUUGCCUUUCCUGAACUAACUCUUAUUUACUUUUUCAACUUAAGGGUAACACAUUUUCACAUACACAUAUGCACACACAUAUAUGUACACACAUACAUUGAUGUAUAUAUAAAUAUGUGUGUGUGUGUCUAUGUUUCUAUGUGUUAAAAUCCAUUACUUCAUAUACCUACUAAAAGCUAUACAAGAUCGUUUUAGAUAACUUUCCAUCAUUCACUGUUGCUUAAACUUUAACCUACGUGCAAAUGUUCAUUCAUGAUGGAAUCAUAAUAUUACAAAUUGCUAAAAAAUUUCCAUUACUAGCAAUGUACAACUUUUUAAUUUUCUUUUGUUUCAAAUUCACAGCAAAGAAGAAACUUAAAGCUGCAUUAUCUUCACUUGCUGCAUCGGCUGGACUAUUUUCACAUUUCUUAAUCAGCAACUGUAUCAGAGGCCUAAACACCUUUACAUUUUCAGAGCAAGUCUAUUUUGUGUCAGAGAAUUUCUUCAAUUUUCAAAUAUGGGACUCAGCAUGGAUGGAGAAGCUAAGUUUGUAUGACAAGAGCAAAGCAUUUAUUUGACGUUGAAAUGAAAUUGCAUAACUUUCUUACUAUUUUAAAGAAUAAGGCAAUGUAUAGCUUGAUUUUUCACUUUCUCCAAGCACAAAUUGUACAUAAGAUACUUUUUCAUUGUAGAGAAGAAUCUUUGACUGAAGCUUUUGGUAUGAUGCAUUCUUGUUAGCAGCUCCAUCAUAAUCCUAAUCCCUCAUGUUUUCUAUCUGUUAAUUAUUUCAUUCUUAAAAAGACAGGUCAAUCCCCCAGCUCUUCACUAGCUAUAGACUCUUUAUCAAACGCUUCAAUGAAAUAGCCUUUUCUUUCAUUAUUGUGUAUGCACAUAGAAGCCUGUCCAGUGUAGGAAACAUCUGUGAUUUCAUCCAUAAGAAAUAAAUAUGAUUACUGCC
rnacentral:lncRNA from 1 species